UGACUGCUAUGUCGCUGAACUUAGUGCAUGAAAGGUCAGCCUUUGAAACGCUAAAUAAGUUGAAGAGGAUAUAGAAAAUACAUCACAUAUGGUAAAGUGUGCAUCCUACAGUGGCAUUUGUGUUAAAGGACCACUUUGUGGGAGAAUACAGGCUACAGACCCUCCCACAGGAGUGCCAGUCUAUGAUGAUUAAAAUACAUGCUUCUGGUUGAGAAGGAGAAAUGAAAUCAAGAAAAAUGGAUAUGGGUCCCUAACACAUUCAAAAGUGAAGACCUUCCUGGAAAACUACCAAUUGAUUUCCUCCAAAGCAGAAGGGAGAGCUACUCAGAGUACCAAUGUUUUUCCAGCAAAAGAAGGAUUAACUCUGACCAAGGUCAGAGCAACUAGUCACCAAUAUUCUUCAUUGGAGAGUUGGGCCUCCUGCAUCCCCAGGAAAUAUCACCUGAAAUAGCCACCUACACACAGGAGUUUAACGGGGAAUUUUGCAAUGUCAGAAAUGCGUGGCAUUCUGAAAAGUCUAGUGAAGCCAUAAGACAAUUAUAUGGCAGCUUCCCCAGGAGUAGUUUGUGUGUCUGUUGAAGUACCUCAAGAUGACAGACGAGAGACUUCCAAUUGCACCAGCUGAAAUAACUGACUUGUUCUUCACUUGCAAGAGAACACUAAAAAUCCAUGAAGAAGAAAGAAAUCCUUACUCCAAAGAGAAGCUCAGAACUAGGUCGUGUGCACUCCCCAAAGAGCCAGAUGACAUCGGACUGAGUUUGCACUCUGCCACUCCAGAACACAGAAUCAGAACCAAACUGCGGAGUCUGCAUCAACCCUGCUAGCCACUUCCACGCUGAAACUGCGGCAAAAGCAAGUAAAAAUGCCUGGUGUGCUCUGGUCUGAAGCCUUUUAUGAAAAGGAAUGAGACUACAGCUAGGCAAAGUCUCCUGUUUUCCCCUGAUGAAACAUUUCAUGUAUGUUCUCAUGGUUAUUCCAAUGCUUGUGGAUAUUUCCUUUCUUUUUUCCUCCUGCUACUCAGACAUUGGAUUGAACCUUACACCAAAUACAAGCAUUUUCACCAAAAAUAAACAAACAGACAAAUUUAAAAAAACUAUUUCUCCCUGUUCGAGAGCCUCAGAAACUCACCUACACUGAGAUGACAGAUGCCACUUGUCAUCAGUAGUCUGGCCACUCCAAGCAGGUCUAAUCAGGGUCAUAGAAACACGAGUGCCCUCAUUAGAGGUGACACUUUUGCAGUACCAGGGCUGCUGCACCAGCAGUAAUGAUGAAAGAUUCACUGUGCCGUCAGGUAGAAGAAGCACCCACAUGGAGCCUUACCAGGAUUUUCCUGUUACUCACCUGCAGCGUUACUCAACUGUAUCCCAUCCCUCUCUGGUACCUCUCCUUGCUGAAUCGCAUUUGGGAAACCUCUGCCAGCUCAUGCAGGAGGCUGAUGAGCAGGGAAACGCUGGCCUGAUCCAUCUUCAGCCUGGAAAAUGCAGAAAAAGCUUUGCUUUAUAUUAUGCUUGGCACCUGGAAAUGCAAUGGGCUGCUUCGCUCCCUGGUCUCCUGUGCUCCGUCCUCUGGAGCGCUCACCUCAUCCUGUGCACUCAGCGCUGGGAUGGAGCAGGGCAGCAGUGUCAGCACGAGAGGGCUGUUCACUUACAAAACAAAGGCUUCAACACCGAACCUUAAACCCAAGCCGUUCAGCUCUUGGCAGGUGCUUUCGGAUGCUUGUGGCUCCAUGGAGCUGCCACAUCAGGUAGAGACCCUCAGGGUGAGCCGAACUGGGAUCCCACAUUGCGCCAACCCACCUCUGGGACAUGCAGCCUUUUCCCAGGAGCUUCAGGCAUUCUGUGUUCAUCCCGCAUCACCUCACUGAAGAAAUGAAACUACCUGCUCCAAGGUAAAAAUAAUUGCUAAUACUAAGCCUCAAGUUGGUGAUUCUCUGCUCAGCUGGCAUUAUAAUCUUCCAUGACAAAUGUUAAUUUGCUUUUAAAAUUAAGGAGAGGAAAGGCAAACAGUAGCUAAACCCAAGAACAGGUAGACAACUGGCUACUGGAUUUGGCACAGCAGAUACUGGGAGGAGAAUUUCUCCCUUGAACAACACUGCUCAGAAAAUGCUAGGAAAUCUUAUGUUAGCCCUUCACUCUGUUGUGUUGUGUUGUUUUUUUUUCCUCUCCAGCGGCAACAUGAGUUAAGGAUGAAGCAUUAGCCCUCACUGCAAUACCCCCACUGUCAGCUCAAGUCAGAUUCUUCCUGUUAUUUAUAUGUACCCUUUUGUAAGCGUAUCGAUUACACAAGUGAGUUCUCAAGUACUCAGGCACUCAAUACAGCCACACAAUGGAGAAAAGCAUCCAGGUUAACACAGAAUUACACAUGUGCUAAACAUACCAAGGGACAAGAAUAAAUACUGACAUGUACAAUUCCAAGCUGCAUUUUAAGAACUGUCUAUUUUGUUGCAAGGCAGCACUUCAUGCUAUUAAAAAUAAAAAGUGCAUUUUAAUUUCUGAGGUGUAACAACCAAAGUUUCUCAUGGCCAUUCUUAGCCAUGGCAGAAUUGCCAUCUUUCGGCCACUUUUGACACACCAGAUUAUCCCACAACAAUCCAAAAUCCAAUGCAGACCCCUCCCUCCCCUUUGUUCCUUUUACCCUUUGCAUUACGAAUGCUGUGGGGAAGGACUGCCUGUUUCACAGGGGGCUUGGUAUCACAGAAAGCUGGUUGUUGAUCUCUGGAUGCCUGCAGGCCAGCAAUCUGUGCUACAAGUUACCCCUCUUAAAAAAAAAAAUAAGACAAGUGGAUAAAACUGAUACAAGCAUCUGUAACAAGCUAAUUGGACCCUUGUGGGCAACAUAGCAGAUACAAAAUUAAAACAAACAAACAUCUCAUUGUACAACUGUACUUUCAGGACCAUUAUCACAAAGGGAUCCUUCUGGAUUUUUAUUUUAGUUUUGUUUUGUUUAAAAGGACCUAAUUAUGGCCAGAGCUGGAGUAUCACAAGUCUGUUUUCAUCUAUAAAGAAAGGAUAUUUUGCCUCUGAACCUGAGAAAUUGUUAGAAGUUGGUAAUUAGUAUGACUUGUUAAUAGAGUUUGGCUGUGAUUAAGCUGUGAUUGAGUGUGAGUUUGGUUCUUGUCAAUGCGAAUGCCUGUAAGGUUGAGAGAUGUUUAAUGAGACACCUGUUGUCAGCAGCACCCGGUGGGCUUUGCCGUGCCUGAUUGGCGUUUGUACUGCAAAGCAGGAGCGGCACAGCGCUGAAAUGCGGCAGCACGUGGGCACCUGGCGGAGCACGAAGGGGCCCGAGCGUAAAGGAGGGUCAGACCCAUGGGGUGCGGCCGCCCAGCUGCGAGAGGAGCCCCUCGGUGAGAGCAGGCCUGCCUGUCUCCUGUAGCACACCUUUCCAGCCUUCGGAAAGUUGUUGUUGAGCGCCCUGGGGACGGGCUGUGCCCAGCAGGUCAGGCGAUGCUCUGCGAGCUGAGCAGCUGCUCUAGUCCCAGCCAUAGCGUUUGAUAUAAGAAAUCCUCCUUGUCUAUGCAAUUAUGUCUGGCCUGGGGAGUGCAACAGGCAAAACUGUUGACAUCUUAAUUUAGCCCCUAUGGGGUGUUGACCUGUGCCAUGGUGUGUCCUUGGGAGAUGCAGCCAGGCAGAUUUAAGGCCCCCCAGGUUCUACCUCCUUGGGUAGCCAGCAGCACCAGGGCUCUUCAAAAUGUGACACCGAUGGAGAAAGGCUCAGCUUAGCUCAGCCCUGCUCCAUCCCUUCGUCUGGGCAUCAUCCUCAAGCAAAAAUGUCCCACUGAGCAACCUCCUUGGCCAGCAAGAAAGUUUCAUUCGGAGACUGUGUUUUUGUCUCAGCAUUCAGCACAAUUUGCCACAUGACUGCACGCAGCCACUCCUCACUCCAAAAUCCAGGCCUGAUGCUAACUGUGUAUUUGGGCUGCAUAUAUAAAACAUUAUUUCCCCUGAAACAUCCAUUAAACAUUUUCAAGUGACUGCUAUUUAAAACAUACCUCAGUUUUACAUGCCAAAGGACAAGCUGGAAGCAAUCAAGCUGGCCACUUUCACAGUCUUUUAAUACCCAAGGAAUACCGUAGCUAGGAACAAGAGCAGCAACAUUUCAGCUCAUGCAGUGUCCCUGAGGAACGAGCCGUUGGCUUUGUGAUGAAUCUGAGCAACCACUGGAUGGCAUUGCUCUACACGAAUGUACCUGCGAGCACAUGCGGCUGAGUGUGAGCACGCUGCUUCACCAAGGAGAUUAAUUCAGACCCUAGAGGUUCAGGCCACUGUGACCUUACCAAGCUUUUCAAUAACAGUCAGACUUCUCUUGGCUGUCCAGCUGUGGGCUCUGGGCAUGGAGUUUGGUCAGAGUGAACAAAGCAGACUUCCCAAAGCAUGCUUAUUACUAGGCUGGGUGUAUUUUUCUUUCAUUUUAUGUUAGAUCAAAUAUUCAGCCAGUUUUUGGUGGGUUUCAUUCUUAUGAGAUGGGAAACAGAAUCAUUUGUAAUUUGUGAUCAUAUCAACCUAACGCAGGGCACGCACACCCGGCCAGCAAGUUAGGACUUCAUGAAAGCCCUGCUCCUGCUGCUGCUCUGGCCAGCCAGCGCCACCUCCCAGGGCCCGGGGCUCACCAGGGUGGGACUCAGCUAAGCCUGUUUUUCCAAGCAGGUUAGUUUUGUGUAAUGGGGAAAGCAGAACUGAAGAA